CUCCCCUCUCCAGGCCAGCCCUGCGCAUGUGCCAAGGCCCGAGGUGGCUCCAGGGAAGUCCAGGCUGGGCACCGAGAAGAACAUUCUGGAGAUGCCGGCGGCCGAAAUGAUCAAGACAAAACAACCGGAUCGGAUUCAUCGAAGGAGUGACACAAUGGAAGACCGUGCCCGGACGUGCAUGACCCCCCAAGGGAUCCUACAGAGAAAUAUCUGCAAAGUGGAAAACAUUUCUUCCCGCCCUCUGGACAGAAGCUCCCUGUGACCACCGAAGGAGAAACGUGGUUCCCUUCGCUCCCUCUUCUCCACCCAACCCCCACCCUCCCACCCCCGGACCCCCAAGAUGGCUGUGAGGUCGCCCAAGGCUGAGCACUGACCCCUCCCUGCCCAACGCAAUAAAUCCAUUGAGGUGCACGGCCUUCGCGUGGCAUCUUCUC